GAAAAAUAAAGUCUGUUUGAAAAAGCAGAACGGAACAUGAAGUGGCCAUGAGCAGGGUGCAGUCCUGUGGCUCUGUGCCCCACGGUGCCACCUGCAGGCCUCUGGGUGCCGGGACACUGCCCAUCCACUCAGGGUCAUCAGCACUGGAGGAGCCUCCCCAAUGCCCCAGCUCACCCUGUCUUCUUCCUGAGCGUCCGACGGUCAGCAGAAGUCAUCUGCUUGGAGCCAGAUAAAGGGCUCCUGCCUUUGACCCUCCUGACAAGCUCAUGAGGACCUGGGGGCCUGGGGAGGCCGGGCCAUUCUCCUGGGAUCAGUCAGCAGCGCUUGGUCGAUUUGGGGAAACGCUCUGAGUGACCUUGAUAAGAUCACAUGUUCUUCUGCUGAUGGGAGGAGGCUCUGUGGAGACCAAACCCUAUGGGGCUUUCCCUGACCUUUAUGCUCCGUUACCAAGGGAUAACUUCCCUGGACUGAAAUGCAGCUUUGACCUUCGUCAUUCACUUGUGUCUUUGACGAGAGCUGACUGGUGCUGAGCGUGUGCAGGUGCAGGGCAUGCCCUUGCUCUCCAAGAAGAAGGGGACGGGAGCAGUGAGGCUUCUUGGAGAAGACACGGCUUUAACUGGCCCAUGAUGGGGGCAGCGGCAUGUGUGAAAAGGAACCAAGGAGAGGGCAGAAACAAGAUGGGUUUGAGCACUGAGUGUCCGAACCAGUGCUGGCUCCAGCAGGGGUUCCCUAAUUGGGCUUCCUCUGUCACCUGCUCUAGGCUGGCAGGUUCCAAGCCCGCCACUCACUCAGCUGUGUGAUCAUGGCACUUCCCACCAAAAGUCAAACUCCUGGCCAGAGAGGUCAUCUGGAGACGUUUGCCCUGGAGCCUGUGACGGUAGCUGCUCGUGAUAAACAGCUCCGGAUAUGUGGAGAGCCAUCUAGGGGUACCUCAUUUGUGCUUCUGAGGAACUGACAGCUGCCCACAACCACGGAGCUGGUGUGUACACCAAUGCCAGCGUCCUUCCUGUAUCAUGGUGGGCUUGCCUCUGCCCCAUCCCAGGGGUGUUGUAGAGGUUGCACAUGAUUGGGCACACGGUGGCAGCUCACAAAUGCCCUGUAC
ensembl:lncRNA